GCAUAAAGCGUUCACACGCAUACAGUUUCGACCUGCAUCCAUUCCCCCUAUGCU
rnacentral:tRNA from 1 species